rnacentral:lncRNA from 1 species
CAUUGACAUUAGCUGAGGGAAAACGGGAGAGGACAGCAGAGGAGAAAGUUAUUAAGAUCACAAAUGAACAAAAUCCAUUAUUCUCAGCAUCGUUUCACCAGUGACAGUCACAGAGCACUACCAAGAAAAAGUCUUGGUUACUUCAAUCACUGGAUAAUCAUGGUCGUUGGGUGAGCAUAGUCACUGAACAACCUCCACUG